AAGGAGCACUUCUUGACUGCCGGCCCUCGGGCUUGGUGGUCCAGAGGCCAGUUCAUCAGCGAACGUCUGAUGCUGGUUGCUCAUGGGUGGAACGUUGACUAUUCGGCACAGUGGAUUCGAUGGUUUUGCUAGUACUGCUUCGGCGUGGAACGCAAGGUCAUGGGUCGGCUGGGCCGAGCACGCUGUUGGGUGUCUGAGGGAGCGGCCAGUUUGGUCUGCUUCUUCGGUUGCCGGCCCCGGUAUAGGUCUGCUUCGGCGGGUUGUGACGGGUGGUUGGUCGUUG
rnacentral:misc_RNA from 1 species